UGUCUUCCCUCCCCUUGCAAAGCGGGCACCCAAUAGGGGGACAAUCUUAUACGUCCAGAUCUGCAAUACAUACAAUUAUUAUAUACAAAUUCAAUAGGAAAAAAGUUUUAACAUUCAUUAUAUUAACCAUUUACCUACACCGUCAGGGGCAAUCCAUAGGUGUCGUACUUACGCACGACCCCCUUCGGCUUCGAGUGCGAUCUGGUAAAGAUGUGUACGGUGUCUUCAAAACAUCUCCAAUCCCACGAAUAGUUGUUGAAACGAUCGAUGUCGUCAACGAUCUCCAGAUGGAAGAGGUCGAUCGCAGUCUUCUUGUGGUGACACCGCAUCACGCUCUCAAGGAUAUAGAUCAGACCUAACUUCAGUCUGUCUAACAUCUGAUCACACCUCCUAAUUGCGUCGAACAGCUGUGUAAGAAGCACAGUACCCUAUCCCUCGAAGUAAGCGUCAUGUAGCCUAUUUCUUCUCCGGGUCUCAUCACCCGCUGCUUCAUUGUUCGUAAUCUUUAAUCCCGUGAUCAGAGCAAACUCGAACAUCGAAAAACUGGCGACUUUGCCCCCGAC
rnacentral:lncRNA from 1 species